CUACGGGCGGCUGCAGUGGGGGAUAUUGCACAAUGGGGGGAACCCUGAUGCAGCGACGCCGCGUGAGCGAAGAAGUGCUUCGGCAUGUAAAGCUCUAUCGGCAGGGAAGAAAAUGACGGUACCUGACUAAGAAGCCCCGGCUAACUACGUGCCAGCAGCCGCGGUAAUACGUAGGGGGCAAGCGUUAUCCGGAUUUACUGGGUGUAAAGGGAGCGUAGACGGCAUCGCAAGUCUGAUGUGAAAACCCGCGGCUCAACCACGGGAUUGCAUUGGAAACUGCGGAGCUUGAGUACUGGAGGGGCAGGCGGAAUUCCUGGUGUAGCGGUGGGAUGCGUAGAUAUCAGGAGGAACACCGGUGGCGAAGGCGGCCUGCUGGACAGUAACUGACGUUGAGGCUCGAAAGCGUGGGGAGCAAACAGGAUUAGAUACCCCAGUAGUC
rnacentral:rRNA from 1 species